rnacentral:rRNA from 1 species
GACGAACGCUGGCGGCGUGCUUAACACAUGCAAGUCGAACGGAAAGGCCCUGCUUUUGUGGGGUGCUCGAGUGGCGAACGGGUGAGUAACACGUGAGUAACAUGCCCUUGACUUUGGGAUAACUUCAGGAAACUGGGGCGAAUACCGGAUAGGAGAUCCUGCUGCAUGUGGGGGGUUGGAGAGUUUCGGCGUUGGUGGCUGGACUCGCGGCUUAUCAGCUGGUUGGUCGGGUAGUGGCUUACCAAGGCUUUGACGGGUAGCCGGCCUGAGAGGUUGACCGGCGACAUGGGGACUGAGAUACGGCCCAGACUCCUACGGGAGGCAGCAGUGGGGAAUAUUGCACAAUGGGCGGAAGCCUGAUGCAGCAACGUCGCGUGCGGGAUGACGGCUUUCGGGUUGUAAACCGCUUUCGCCUGUGACGAAGCGUGAGUGACGGUAAUGGGUAAAGAAGCACCGGCUAACUACGUG